rnacentral:rRNA from 1 species
GACGGAGGGGGCUAGCGUUGUUCGGAAUUACUGGGCGUAAAGGGCGCGUAGGCGGCCGAUCAAGUUAGGCGUGAAAUCCCUGGGCUUAACCCAGGAACUGCGUUUAAUACUGAUUGGCUAGAGAUUGGUAGAGGAAAGUGGAAUUCCUAGUGUAGAGGUGAAAUUCGUAGAUAUUAGGAAGAACACCAGAGGCGAAGGCGACUUUCUGGGCCAAUACUGACGCUGAGGCACGAAAGCGUGGGGAGCAACCAGG